AAAUAAGAAGCGAAUUUAUUGCAAUCAGUUUCGACCUGAAAACCUUGGUGAAAUACACCCUUAUUUG
rnacentral:tRNA from 1 species